rnacentral:rRNA from 1 species
GCAGAACGCGAAGAACCUUACCCACCUUUGACAUGUACGGAAGUUGCCAGAGAUGGCUUCGUGCUCGAAAGAGAGCCGUAACACAGGUGCUGCAUGGCUGUCGUCAGCUCGUGUCGUGAGAUGUUGGGUUAAGUCCCGCAACGAGCGCAACCCUUGUCAUUAGUUGCUACGAAAGGGCACUCUAAUGAGACUGCCGGUGACAAACCGGAGGAAGGUGGGGAUGACGUCAAGUCCUCAUGGCCCUUAUAGGGUGGGGCUACACACGUCAUACAAUGGCCGGUACAAAGGGCAGCCAACCCGCGAGGGGGAGCUAAUCCCAUAAAGCCGGUCGUAGUCCGGAUCGCAGUCUGCAACUCGACUGCGUGAAGUCGGAAUCGCUAGUAAUCGUGGAUCAGCAUGUCACGGUGAAUACGUUCCCGGGUCUUGUACACACCG